rnacentral:rRNA from 1 species
AAUUGAAGAGUUUGAUCAUGGCUCAGAUUGAACGCUGGCGGCAGGCUUAACACAUGCAAGUCGAACGGUAGCAGGAAGAAGCUUGCUUCUUUGCUGACGAGUGGCGGACGGGUGAGUAAUGCUUGGGAAUCUGGCUUAUGGAGGGGGAUAACUACGGGAAACUGUAGCUAAUACCGCGUAGUAUCGGGAGAUGAAAGACUGGGACCGCAAGGCCAGUUGCCAUAAGAUGAGCCCAAGUGGGAUUAGGUAGUUGGUGGGGUAAAGGCCUACCAAGCCGACGAUCUCUAGCUGGUCUGAGAGGAUGACCAGCCACACUGGAACUGAGACACGGUCCAGACUCCUACGGGAGGCAGCAGUGGGGAAUAUUGCACAAUGGGGGGAACCCUGAUGCAGCCAUGCCGCGUGAAUGAAGAAGGCCUUCGGGUUGUAAAGUUCUUUCGGUGAUGAGGAAGGGUGGUGUUUUAAUAGAACAUUACAUUGACGUUAGUCACAGAAGAAGCACCGGCUAACUCCGUGCCAGCAGCCGCGGUAAUACGGAGGGUGCGAGCGUUAAUCGGAAUGACUGGGCGUAAAGGGCACGCAGGCGGUGACUUAAGUGAGAUGUGAAAGCCCCGAGCUUAACUUGGGAAUUGCAUUUCAUACUGGGUUGCUAGAGUAUUUUAGGGAGGGGUAGAAUUCCACGUGUAGCGGUGAAAUGCGUAGAGAUGUGGAGGAAUA